rnacentral:rRNA from 1 species
UACCGGCGGCUCGAGUGGUGGCCACUAUUACUGGGCUUAAAGCGUUCGUAGCUUGGUUGUUAAGUCUCUUGGGAAAUCUAUCGGCUUAACCGAUAGGCGUCCAGGGGAUACUGGCAAUCUAGGGACCGGGAGAGGUGAGGGGUACUUCAGGGGUAGGAGUGAAAUCCUGUAAUCCUUGGGGGACCACCUGUGGCGAAGGCGCCUCACCAGAACGGCUCCGACAGUGAGGGACGAAAGCUGGGGGAGCAAA